AGAUAAAAGGUCCUUCGUUUCAGAGUUUACAAACACGAAUGCAACACCUGAAAAACAAAUCAAGCCAUCAAAGAAGUCUGGACCUGAAUCAGAAGUAAUUCAAUUGCAGCGAGAGCUUAAAAAAAGCCUUCCGACCAACUUGAGUUUCAAAUGGAGCUACAAAAAGCUGUUGGAGGAGAAGAAAGUGGGGAGAAGAAAUAAUGCUUGCAAUCAAGUCAUUAUCUACACAAAUAUGGCAGUGUGUUGAGUGAUAGAAUAAAUGACUUGUACUAGUGUGAAUUUUGAGUUUUUAUUAGUGUUUCUCGGAUUUUGAACAUAAGUGUCGAUUGAAUUCAGCUGUAAGUUGGAUUAAGUGUAACUUGACACAAACAAUUGUUUAGGGGAGAAUUUGAAUUACGAUCGGGUGUAUAUCUAUUGGAUUAAAUUCAUUGUUUUUUUCGAACCCUCAUGCAGGAUGAUUAGUAAACUGUCCAACCAAUGAGCUAAGCUAGCUACAUGCUCGU